UCCACUCCUGCAGGACUAAAUUCAACAGCGAAAAAGUAUGAGCAACCCUGCAUUAACUAUGGAGAACGAGACUUAACUCUACAAUCAAAAUAAAACCACUCUUGUAAAGUACCAAGGCUGUGGAAGACUGGAACAAGCUUCCAAUUGGAUGGCACCAUUGGCCAAUUGUCCCUUUGGCUAAAUAUGCGAAUUUUGUCUUCAGUGAUGGGGAUCAAACACAGCACUAUCAAGAAUUUCAAGUAAUCACCAAACUGAUGCUUAAAACAGAACACUGUUUAUUCCAAUAUAUAGACUUCUGUAACUAAUACAAAUUACUAUUAACCUUCAAAAGUAAUUAAAAAAAUAUUUUUUGCCAAAAACUGAGAAUAAGUUUAUGGGCCAGUUUUCAUUCAGAUAUUCGGGUUGUCUAAUUUGUCACAUAAUCUCAUUAUUUGGUAUUCUGUUUUAGAAAAUUUAGGUUAAUCUUAAGAUUUAAAAUUUUUCAAGUCACUUUAUCAUGCUAAGCUGUAUUUGGGAGCAGGUAAGAAAUCAUCCUUCCUUAAUUUUUUUAUGAUAUGAAACUACCUUCAUAUGAGAGAGCUGCAUUAACUAUGAAUUCAUUAUGGAGGCCACCUACAGCUAAAGGUUAUCUGUCCUUGGUGGAAGGCUUUAAUUCUAGUUCUAGACUUUGUCUCCCAUUAGAAAAUUCGAACACUGAAGCUUGAGCUCUCUGUUCAAAACAAUUGGAUAAAAACUUUUGUCAGAAUUAAUAUAAUAUUUUGACAAAGAACUUAUAUGAAGAAAUUUAUUUUCAUGUGUUCUCAUUUGAAAUCAGAGGGAAUAUAUGCUAAUUCUUAUCAAGAUUGCCUGGUAAUACUCUUUUGUUGGUUUGGAUGUUAUCAAAUCUGUUUUUUCACUACUUGCUAGGUGUUAUUGUGAAAUGACUGAGUUUCUAAGCAUUUCUGAUAGAUUCAAUCGAUUUUUCCUCCAUGCACACCUGUAUCAUCUCUGUGUCUUUUCAUCAAAACUAUAGUUGUUGAUAUAUAUUCUUCCUCAAAUGCCUAUCAAGAUUAAAUUAUGCAAAUCAUUUAAAAAUGUGGAAGUUUGGUUUACCGUGAACUAAACGACAUGCUGUUUAGAAAUGUAGUUUAAGGUAAACUAAAAUAAUGUGUUUGUUGAUGCCAAAACAUUUGGCCUCAGUAAAUACACUCAGAAGCUCUUGUGCCUUGAAUGCACUAUUUACAAAAAGGAAAACAUCUCAUUAAAAAAAAAAGUCUGGGAAGUAAGUUUUGUAAAUUAACCAUUAGAGUAGUGAGCUGUGCUAUUCCUUUGGUACUAAUUUUGAGAAUUUCAAGUAGAUUAGCUUUUUUUUUUUUCUUAAAAAGGCUAGAUAAUUGACAUACACAAGAAUUCACUACAAACUGAAAGACCUGGAGAGAAUAGAAUAAUGGAAGAUCAUUGCAAUUACUCAGCCUUGCUAGAGCCUUUGGGAAUUUUAGGAGUGUUUAGGAAGAGAUGAUGUCAGUUCCUCGUGUUCCACUUGGGCGCAAUGCUGGGCAUGAGGGUGAGGGUUGCUUUCACAUGAUUUCAAGCUAAAGCCUUUGAUCUGACAAUCUACUUCGAAAGACUCAGAGGAUGAAGUGUGCUUUCCCUUUCGUCUUUAAGCAUGUUUGGGUCAUUUGUCAUUACCGGAAGUGCCAGACUGGAGCUCAUAGCUCCCGCUAGAAGCCUUUUGGGCAGCAGCAUGUGGUGUAUUCGAAGAUCUAUGCAGCAGAUUUUCUGAUAGCACAGUGCUCCCUUAUCCAUCUUCCAGGACAAGAGUCUGUGAGCAUGUCCUUUUAUCAAAGUGGUAGCUGGUGGGGAAGGGGAGGGUUUACAUUCUACCCUGCUAAAAUACUGUUAUUUCUGCUCUCUUUACGUCGUUUAUGUACUUAUUUUAAACACCUAAGUCCAUAGUCCUAGGAGUCAAAAUGGAAAAACAUUUAAAAAAUAAAUUUUUUUCAGUAUGUUGUAAUGGUU
rnacentral:lncRNA from 1 species